AGGCACGUAGCUCAGUUGGUUAGAGCACCACCUUGACAUGGUGGGGGUCGUUGGUUCGCGUCCAAUCGCGCCUACCA
rnacentral:tRNA from 1 species